CUUUCAGGGAAAAAUGUUCAAGCUCUGGCGCCGUGGAAAUGAGGUUUGAAUUCUCUCCAUCACUUAUUAGUUGGAGGCCGGUCCCAACAUGGAAUAGGUUUGGCUUCUCACCCCACAAAUCAUCGCCAUGGACUUUGUGUCUAGAAACAGUCAGUUUAUAUUCAAGAAUGGACAUCAAACACUGUUUGGAAACUAUGAUGGAUGGGACUGGUUAAAGAGUAGGUUUUGGCCAGUCAAGCUGAACUCUUGUUGGAUGCUCUAAGGAGAACCCUUCAUUGGCAUGGGUACCCAUGCUCUGGAAGCAGAGCAGGAGAAUGGCAGCUGGCCCAGCUUCAGGACCUGGUGUGUCUUUCCUUCUUCAUCUCCAUUGCAUCCUCUGCCUGCAGAGGCUCUUGCUGGUGUCGCCUAUCAGGAAAUGUCUACAGCUUUCACGACACGAGCAAGAGGUGAAUUCCCAGCUGCAUGGGUUUAUA